GCUCAGGAUGAACGCUAGCGGCAGGCCUAAUACAUGCAAGUCGAGGGGCAGCGCAGUGUAGCAAUACAUGGGCGGCGACCGGCAAACGGGUGCGGAACACGUACGCAACCUUCCUUUAAGUGGGGAAUAGCCCAGAGAAAUUUGGAUUAAUACCCCGUAAGAUGGUGGUCUGGCAUCAGACAGCCAUUAAAGCUGAGGCGCUUAAAGAUGGGCGUGCGUCUGAUUAGGUAGUUGGUGAGGUAAUGGCUCACCAAGCCGACGAUCAGUAACUGGCGUGAGAGCGCGACCAGUCACACGGGCACUGAGACACGGGCCCGACUCCUACGGGAGGCAGCAGUAAGGAAUAUUGGUCAAUGGACGCAAGUCUGAACCAGCCAUGCCGCGUGAAGGAUGAAGGUCCUCUGGAUUGUAAACUUCUUUUAUGUGGGAAGAAACCACCUUUUUCUAAGGGUGUGACGGUACC
rnacentral:rRNA from 1 species